rnacentral:rRNA from 1 species
UGGGGAAUAUUGGACAAUGGGCGAAAGCCUGAUCCAGCAACGCCGCGUGAGGGAUGACGGCCUUCGGGUUGUAAACCUCUUUCAGCAGGGACGAAGCGAAAGUGACGGUACCUGCAGAAGAAGGACCGGCCAACUACGUGCCAGCAGCCGCGGUAAUACGUAGGGUCCGGGCGUUGUCCGGAAUUAUUGGGCGUAAAGGGCUCGUAGGCGGUCUGUCGCGUCGGGAGUGAAAACUCAGGGCUCAACCCUGAGCGUGCUUCCGAUACGGGCAGACUAGAGGUAUGCAGGGGAGAACGGAAUUCCUGGUGUAGCGGUGGAAUGCGCAGAUAUCAGGAGGAACACCGGUGGCGAAGGCGGUUCUCUGGGCAUUACCUGACGCUGAGGAGCGAAAGCAUGGGGAGCGAACA